AGGCUAUGAUGAGUUGAGGUAUAUCUGAUUUGGUAUUGCCAAACCCUUUGGGUGGCUCUGACCAGGAAAUGAACAGUUAAUCUUCUCUCUGAGCUU
ensembl:snoRNA